GAUGAACGCUGGCGGCGUGCCUAAUACAUGCAAGUCGAGCGAACGGACGAGAAGCUUGCUUCUCUGAUGUUAGCGGCGGACGGGUGAGUAACACGUGGAUAACCUACCUAUAAGACUGGGAUAACUUCGGGAAACCGGAGCUAAUACCGGAUGAUAUUUUGAACCGCAUGGUUCAAAAGUGAAAGACGGUCUUGCUGUCACUUAUAGAUGGAUCCGCGCUGCAUUAGCUAGUUGGUAAGGUAACGGCUUACCAAGGCAACGAUGCAUAGCCGACCUGAGAGGGUGAUCGGCCACACUGGAACUGAGACACGGUCCAGACUCCUACAGGAGGCAGCAGUAGGGAAUCUUCCGCAAUGGGCGAAAGCCUGACGGAGCAACGCCGCGUGAGUGAUGAAGGUCUUCGGAUCGUAAAACUCUGUUAUUAGGGAAGAACAUAUGUGUAAGUAACUGUGCACAUCUUGACGGCACCUAAUCAGAAAGCCACGGCUAACUACGUG
rnacentral:rRNA from 1 species